UACGUAGGUGUCGAGCGUUGUCCGGAUUUAUUGGGCGUAAAGAGCGUGUAGGCGGCCUGAAAGGUCAGCUGUGAAAACUCGAGGCUCAACCUCGAGACGUCGGUUGAAACCAUCUGGCUAGAGUCCGGAAGAGGAGUGUGGAAUUCCCGGUGUAGCGGUGAAAUGCGCAGAUAUCGGGAAGAACACCCGUGGCGAAGGCGGCACUCUGGGACGGUACUGACGCUGAGACGCGAAAAGCGUGGGGAGCGAACAGG
rnacentral:rRNA from 1 species